rnacentral:rRNA from 1 species
GAUGAACGCUGGCGGCGUGCCUAAUACAUGCAAGUCGAGCGAACGGACGAUAAGCUUGCUUCUCUGAUGUUAGCGGCGGACGGGUGAGUAACACGUGGAUAACCUACCUAUAAGACUGGGAUAACUUCGGGAAACCGUAGCUAAUACCGGAUAAUAUUUUGAACCGCAUUGUUCAAAAGUGAAAGACGGUCUUGCUGUCACUUAUAGAUGGAUCCGCGCUGCAUUAGCUAGUUGGUAAGGUAACGGCUUACCAAGGCAACGAUGCAUAGCCGACCUGAGAGGGUGAUCGGCCACACUGGAACUGAGACACGGUCCAGACUCCUAAGGGAGGCAGCAGUAGGGAAUCUUCCGCAAUGGGCGAAAGCCUGACGGAGCAACUCCGCGUGAGUGAUGAAGGUCUUCGGAUCGUAAAACUCUGUUAUUAGGGAAGAACAUAUGUGUAAGUAAAUGUGCACAUCUUGACGGUACCUAAUCAGAAAGCCACGGCUAACUACGUG